AUUGAACGCUGGCGGCAGGCCUAACACAUGCAAGUCGAGCGGAUGCAGGGAGCCUGCUCCUGGAGACAGGGGCGGACGGGUGAGUAACGCCGAGGAAUGUGCGGGGUAGGGGGGGAAAACGUCCGAAAAUGGGCGCUAAUACCGCACACGCCACGAGGGAGAAAGUGGGGGAGCUUCGGACCUCGCGGAAUGAGAUGAGGCUAGGACGGAUUAGCUAGUUGGUGGGGUAAAGGCCUACCAAGGCGACGAUCCGUAGCUGGUCUGAGAGGAUGAUCAGUCACACUGUGACUGAGACACGGCCCAGACUCCUACGGGAGGCAGCAGUGGGGAAUUUUGGACAAUGGGCGAAAGCCUGAUCCAGCCAUGCCGCGUGUAUGAUGAAGGUCUUCGGAUUGUAAAGCGCUUUAGGUCGGAAGGAAGAGCAGUCUUUUAAUACCUGACUGUCUUGACGUUACCGACAGAAUAAGCACCGGCUAACUUCGUG
rnacentral:rRNA from 1 species